GAAAAAAAAGGAACAGGCAGUUAAAAUGCUAUAAUUCAUGGUGGUGACAACGUGGAAAUUUGUGUCAGGUCUGAAAGUACUUCACAAGGGACUGGUGAUCGCGAGGGUCAGAAUGCAGGACAGGACGAGUCGGCGAGGCGAGGGUAAUUAAUUAAUUAGUUUCCAAUUAGGAGCAUAACAACGCAAAACCAACGUGUACGUGGUUUUUAUUCCUCUUUCCAGAUCUUCUCAAAAACACAGAGCCAGUGGCUUUGACAAGCAAUGGCUCAAUCAAUUUACCUGGCUCAGGCAUACUGAGGAAGGCAUGCACUGCUAUUUAUGCCAAAAGCACUGUGCCCCAACACAGCAGGCAAUUGCUGCCUCCUUAGUGAGACAGCCAUCAACCAACUACAGGCUGGACACAUUAAAAAGACAUGAGGUGACAGCCAUUCACAAAGCAGCAGAAGAGAAGGAGAAAUAUAUUAAAGAUGGUAGUACCUAAAAACACUCAACUAAUAAAGUUACAAAAACUAAAAUAACAUAGUUUAGAUAGUUUAAGAAAUAAUUGGUUGUCGUUUUUUUUAGGGAGGACACUGCAACGUAUACAUAUAUAUAAUAUAUGAUUGAAAACACUAUCACUCUUCAUGUCUGUAUCAGAAUAAAAACAAAAAAUACUUCAUGCAUGAUGAAUUGUUUUGUUUAAGGUGAAGACACCUCUGCGGAACAGACUGAAGGAGAGGCACUUGGAUGUCUGUUGUAAGGUGGCCGUUGAUGGACCAGACCAGGAGGCCUUGGACUACAAGGAGUGCAUGAGGAGGUUCUACAGAAUGAAAAAGAGGAGGCUGAAAUGUUCUGUCUGGUUGUGAGAUGUGUGGAUGAAGUGUACUUUCAAUUUAAAGUUGCCAGCUGAUUUGUGUAUGUAUAUAGUUUUAAUAAAUGAAUGCUUUAGCAUGAUAAUGGUCACACUCUUUUUUGAACUCUUAACUUAAAGUAUGUUGCCUGUAAAAGAAAGUGAGUCAGUUGAAUUUACAAAUACAUGCACGUCAUGGCGCAUGGUCAGGAUGGUGCCACCUCUGCCUCAAUUUGAGCCAGGAAAAACCCUGAUUA